CAGGCUAUUGAAGGAAAAUAUAUUAUUCCAAUAAAGUGAUAGCUAACUCAAGAAAAAAUACACUGCAGUGUGCUAGCAUACUGAUUUCUUUAAGACUAAUUUCUUGUACAAAACAGUGAUAGACACCUCAAAAUAUACACAUAAAUUUGCAAUGUGCUCACACAUGAAUAUCUUUCUUUAGACUAAUUUUUGUGGAAAGUCAAGCAUUAGUUAGCCUAGUUUAUCUAACAAGCAAGCUCUUAAAAUGAUCUGUUACCAAAAGCCUGACGUGACAAGUGCUUUUAUUGACACCGAUUGAGGAUGUGUUUUUCAGCAUAUGUGUAUAGAUAACAAGGCCAUUAUCUUGGUUUAGCUAAAUGUCAUGUUAUACCAGUUCAUGGGAACUAGCUUCAUUUCUUGAAUUGGUGUGAGUGCAGAUAUCACUGUACCAAAAAGAAAAAAAAAGAGCAGAUAUCACCAAAUCUAAAUUAGUGCUUGAGACGAACUGUAGAUUUUGCCUCAGAUGCAAGAAGACUUAUACAAAUAGAAAAUUCACCAUACCUGCGAGUGAUGACCAAUGUCUUAACUAGUUAGAAAUUUUUUCUAAAGGCAUUAAUUACUUUGUAGCAGGGUAUGUUGAAAAAAUAUCCCGGACCUAGCAGUUUCGAGCAUUAUUGUACUGAACCAGCCAAGAGCUGGGGAUGGUUUGGCCAAUCGAAAUGGAAUGCCGAUGAAACCGGUUAGAAUCAGACUAAACCGGGCUAAACCAACCAAUUUUGACCCAAUAUGCCCUGGCCGAACCAACUCGUUAUAACCGCAUUCGACUUCAAUCUCCCCUCCCCCCCUCUCUUCUUCAAGCCCUAGCAAACAUCGUCACCCUCAAUCAACGUCAACACUGACGCUGACACCGUCACCCUCAAUCAUGCCAUGUUGAUGUCAUCCCCCUUUGGGUGUUCGAACCAGUACCCCUCUCUCUCUCUCCUCUUCCCCCUCUCCUCCCGCUCCUUCUUUCGUCCCCUUCAUCUUCUCUCUCUCCCCCUAGUCCUCCACCUACUAGGGUUAGGGUUAGGGUUAGGGUUACUACAUCUCUCCCCUCCUCUUCUCUCGAUCCUUCAUCUUCGAUAGACCUUAGCUCAAUAUGGUACAAACCAAUCCCAUACCAAACCGGUAGCCAAUCGGUACAACAUCUAGUACUAGUUUAGCGAAAAUUGCUUUAAAGAGU
rnacentral:lncRNA from 1 species